rfam:Anopheles sinensis unplaced genomic scaffold AS2_scf7180000696060, whole genome shotgun sequence.
CCUUCGAUAGCUCAGUUGGUAGAGCGGUGGACUGUAGUGAGCGUUGUUCGAGUUCAAAUCGACAAUUGUGUAGAAGAAAUCCAUAGGUCACUGGUUCAAAUCCGGUUCGAAGGA